rnacentral:tRNA from 1 species
GUUUUUGUGGUGUAAGCAAGCACAUUAAGGGUUUCAUCCUAAAGGUGUAAUCAUUUACCAAAAAUU